rnacentral:tRNA from 1 species
AAUGAAGUGCCUGAAAAAGGAUUAUUUUGAUAGAAUAAAAAAUGUAAACCGACUUUACCUUCAUUA